UACGAAGGGGGCUAGCGUUGUUCGGAAUUACUGGGCGUAAAGGGCGCGUAGGCGGUACUUCAAGUCAGGUGUGAAAGCCCCCGGCUCAACCGGGGAACUGCGCUUGAAACUGCUGAGCUCGAGUCAGCUAGAGGUACACGGAACUUCCAGUGGAGCGGUGAAAUGCGUAGAUAUCUGGAGGAACACCGGUGGCGAAGGCGGCAUCCUGGACCGACACUGACGCUGAGGAGCGAAAGCCAGGGGAGCAAACGGG
rnacentral:rRNA from 1 species